rfam:Marvinbryantia formatexigens DSM 14469 B_formatexigens-1.0.1_Cont1.1, whole genome shotgun sequence.
UUAUUUUGAGGUCGGAAAUGGUUCCCGAUACACUCCAUUUGAAGUACCUGAGAUGCUGGAUGAACCGCCCAGCCCCCAAUAUAU